UUUCCUUUUCAUAUAUUGAAUACACUAUUUACACCAACCACUGGUGAAUUAUAUUCGGAUUUCGGUCUUAGGUAUCCGUCCUUGUCUCCGGGAAUAUUAUACCCACACAAGUUGUCAACAUCCGUUUUCAAACUGUUCAAAGUGUUCUUCACAAUCUCACUGGAAAAUAUUCACGCUAUCACUUCGUGCUCAGAUAAUAGAACAUUGUAAACCUCUAACAGCAAAUACGGACCAAAAUUAAUCAAUUUUGAAAGCACGGAUGAUCACGUGUAAUGCCGACUGAUGGAGAAAGAUGUUCACUAUGGAUCAAUAAUUCAAAACAGAGGACCUUUUUAUUAAAACAAAAAUACUUGUAUAUGUAUGAUAUUCUGUACAUACAACAAGAAAACAGUAAUCAAAUGGAAUGUCCAGUAUUGUUGAAAGCAAAAUUAUUUUUGUUAACAGAAAACAAUAGGACUGCAAUAUAUUAAGGUACACAACACAUGGUGUCCGAAGAAUAAUUUUACUGAAUGAUAAAAAAUUUAAUACCUGGAAUCAGCAAUUUACAAAAUGUAUAUGAAAUUUAUUAAGAGAGAUAUAUUCAUGUACAGAAUGGUAACCCCACCAAAUAACCCAGGUGGUUCAAGUGAUUAUUAGCAGACAUUUUUGUUGAACUAAUGCAGGAUUAAAUAAAUGAAGCUUUAGCAGACUAUGGUCUCCAAAGUGUAGUAUAAAAAAGAGGAUUUUUAAAUAUGUGAGACUCAUCAACAUUAAAAUGUGCAUAAGUGAAAUGUUACAAUAUUUAGUAAAAAAUUCAGAUUAUUGACUCAGUUGUGUUCAUGAAAUUUUUUAUCAAAACAAUAUCACUGUUAUAUAAUUAAUAAGAUUCCAUAUGUUCUAUUUUAUACUUUUGACAACCGAAUAUAUCUUCCCUCUGGCCUCAAGUGUUUCCCUUUUAUUUUGUAUGAGUGUAAUUUACAGAAAGCUCACUUUGCUUAAGGCGAAUUCACGUUUUGCCUUUCCAGAAUUAUUGGACUUUAUUCAUGGAAAAUUAGACAUUUACCCAUAUGUUGUAGAAGAACUCAAUUUUGCUUUAAUACUUUUUCAAGAAUUUGUAUCACAAGGCUAGAUUUGAUCAAAUAAUCUCACUUUUGAAUAUUUAUCACAUAUCACAUACUUAAAUAAUCUAGUAUGCUUAGAUUGAUUUCCUUCACUUUUGCCCUGUUGUUGAGAUUGAGUGAAAUAAUUUAAUUAUUUUAUCCCUAUCAAUUUGGGGUGAGGAUCUGUGUCCCAUCGGGACCGACAUUCAACACUGCAUAACUAUAUCCUAUCACAAGUUAUGAUACAGCCAACCAUAUAACAUAGCCCCUGCCACUGAAAUGAGAAAAGAGGUGCACAACAUACAAAAAAAUAUUUCAUAUGGCUAGCUUCAUUGUAUCCUUUGAAUAUUUCAUUGAUUUUUUGUCAGUAGUUAUUUAUUAAAGGUACUACAGUUC